AGCAGGAGAUGCAACAACUACCACUGGCAGCCCACAACAGUGCAACCCCCGAUCAACUUCGCCACCACCCACUACUGAAGGAAACGAGCAACCCGGUGAAGAUUGUCACGUCAUUCAAGAAAAUGUCCAAGCCUCUAACCGCCAUGAUGAAUCAUCCUCACCACCCUCCGAUCCAGAUCCCUUCGCUGAAGACUUCCCAUUAGAUGAAGAUUUGAUGGGGAGUAAUAAUAAUAAUG